rnacentral:lncRNA from 12 species
CAAAAGCCUGGAAACUAGGGGCACAGACAUGAUAAUCUGGGCUUCCUCAUCAGGUGAGUAACCAAGACUUGCAGAAAUGCUGGCUGAGAGAGAAAGGAUAAAGGAGAGGUAAGUGGGGAGGGACUGACUGUAACAACAUGGCCUGAGGUUUAACCCACUAAACCUCCUGGGUCUUUUUUUUAUAUUUUUGUUUUUGUUUUAGAACUUGUGACGAGCUAUCAGUUUGAACAAGCAGGUGCAAGGGUUGGACUGAACAAGGUGGCCCUGUGUAGGGAGCACCCACAUUCGCGAGUGUCUUCAUUCUAAUGUGUCUGAGGGGCAGGCAGGGGGAGAUACC